UGACUUUUUAAUGGCUGCAGUAUUUUGACUGUACAAAGGUAGCAUAAUAAUUAGUUUUUUAAUUGAGAACUUGUAUGAAAGGAUAAAUGAAAUAUAAUCUUUAUUAAUUUUAUUAUUGGAAUUUUAUUUUUUGGUUAAAAAGCUAAAUAUUGUUUUAGGGACGAUAAGACCCUAUAGAAUUUAAAAUAUUAAUUUAUUAUAUUAUUUUUAGGUUAAAUUUAUUUAUUUAAUUAAUAUUUUUAAUUGGGGUGAUUAAUAAAUUUUAAUCUUUUUUUUUUUAAUUCAUUAAUAUAUGUAAAUUUGAUCCUUAUAUUAAGAUUAUAAGAUAAAUUACCUUAGGGAUAACAGCGUAAUUUAAAUGGGAAGUUCAUAUUUAAAUUUAAGUUUGCGACCUCGAUGUUGAAUUAAGAUAGUUUUAUGGUGUAGAAG
rnacentral:rRNA from 1 species